CCGGCACUUCGCUCUGUGAAGUACCAUUAGCCGCGGGAAUAUCAGUAUGGUGACUCCUUACCCUGGGGAAGUGUACUUAGGCCACGGCUAGGUGAAGCCCAGGGAUAUUUCUGUUCGCCCAUGCAUCCGAGAAAGGAGUGUUAGACCUGACCCUGUUGUUUCUCCCAGCAGUGAGAACGUGGCCAUGGACAAGAAUUCCAAGUAGUGGCACUUCUGUAGACGACGCGGCCCUUUUGGGGUUACUACAGCCCAGGAAACUCACAUGCGACACGGCGCCAGCUGAAGUCCAUCUAGACCCCCGCAGACCCAAGGUCACAAGUUGAGAACCCCCUGCCGUGGACAUUCUUCUGCACCUAGUGGUGAAGCAGGUGGAGCUGCACCUUGCUCCGCCCAUUUGGAGACUGGUUCUGCACAUAUGAGUGUGCCCUGCAGCGAUCCUGCAAUCCUUCGUGACUAACAAGGACUUUCUGUGAAAACAGAUUUAUCUUUUCUUCUCUACCUUUAAGGUUUCUUGCUGUUGAGAAUAGUUAAGGGACGAGGAAUUCUUAUUGCCCCCAUUUUACAGGCAAAGAAACUAAUGCUGACCCCAACCUUACCGACCACUUGGAGGUCCCUAAAAACACAUGACCUUUGUGUUUCUCGGCUGUUAGUGGAAUCCUUUCUGUCUGCUCAUGAACUCAUCUUCAAACGCAUUCCAGGCCUUCAGAACUCUUCCGUGAGCGCAAGUCACUGGGCUUUACACUGGCACCAGUAUGAGGUUACUGGAUGGAUGCAUGCAUGGAUGGAUAGAUGACGAAUAGAUAAAAUCAUCAUGUUAAAAAUCCCAGUACAGCGUGAUGGCUCACGCCUGUAAUCCCAGCACUUUGGGAAGCGAAGGCAGGCGGAUCGCUUGAGACCGUAAGCUCAAGACCAGCCUGGCCAACAUGGUGAAACCCCGUCUCCACUAAAAAUAUUUAAUAUUAAUACGAA
rnacentral:lncRNA from 1 species